GCGUUGGUGGCUCAGUGGUAGAAUUCUUGCCUUCCAUACGGGAGACCUGGGUUCAAUCCCCUGCUAAGGCA
rnacentral:tRNA from 1 species